AUACGAAGGGUGCAAGCGUUAAUCGGAAUUACUGGGCGUAAAGCGUGCGUAGGCGGUUUGUUAAGUCAGAUGUGAAAGCCCCGGGCUCAACCUGGGAACUGCAUUUGAUACUGGCAAGCUAGAGUGUGGUAGAGGGUGGUGGAAUUCCCGGUGUAGCGGUGAAAUGCGUAGAGAUCGGGAGGAACAUCCGUGGCGAAGGCGGCCACCUGGACCAACACUGACGCUGAGGCACGAAAGCGUGGGGAGC
rnacentral:rRNA from 1 species